GCUGCUUCUCUCUUUUGCUCAGGCCCGUAGCGCUGGCAGGAUGGGCGAGUGUCGUGGACUUCGUACUGCUAGGAGGCUCUGUAGUCACCGACAAGAUCAGAAGUGGCAUGAUAAACAGUACAAGAAAGCCCAUUUGGGCACAGCCCUGAAGGCCAACCCUUUUGGAGGUGCUUCUCACGCAAAACGAAUUGUGCUGGAAAAAGUAGGAGUUGAAGCCAAAAAGCCAAAUUCUGCCAUUAGGAAGAGUGUCAGGAUCCAGUGGAUCAAGGAUGGCAAGAAAAUCACAGCCUUUAUACUCAGUGAUGGUUGCUUGAAACUUAUUGAGGAAAACCAUAAAGUUCUGGUUGCUGGAUUUGGUCAAAAAGGUCAUGCUGUUGGUGAUAUUUCUAGAGUUCGCUUUCAGGUUGUCAAAGCAGCCUAUGUUUUUUGGCCCUACACAAAGGCAAGAAGGAAAGACCAAGAUCAUAA